rnacentral:tRNA from 1 species
GGUUGUGGCUCAGCGGCAGAGCACUUGCCUAGCAUGUGUGAGGCACUGGGUUCGAUUCCCAGCACCA